GCUGAACGCUGGCGGCGUGCCUAAUACAUGCAAGUCGAGCGAACAGACGAGGAGCUUGCUCCUCUGACGUUAGCGGCGGACGGGUGAGUAACACGUGGAUAACCUACCUAUAAGACUGGGAUAACUUCGGGAAACCGGAGCUAAUACCGGAUAAUAUAUUGAACCGCAUGGUUCAAUAGUGAAAGACGGUUUUGCUGUCACUUAUAGAUGGAUCCGCGCCGCAUUAGCUAGUUGGUAAGGUAACGGCUUACCAAGGCAACGAUGCGUAGCCGACCUGAGAGGGUGAUCGGCCACACUGGAACUGAGACACGGUCCAGACUCCUACGGGAGGCAGCAGUAGGGAAUCUUCCGCAAAGGGCGAAAGCCUGACGGAGCAACGCCGCGUGAGUGAUGAAGGUCUUCGGAUCGUAAAACUCUGUUAUUAGGGAAGAACAAAUGUGUAAGUAACUAUGCACGUCUUGACGGUACCUAAUCAGAAAGCCACGGCUAACUACGUG
rnacentral:rRNA from 1 species